GAUCCUGGCUCAGGAUGAACGCUAGCUACAGGCUUAACACAUGCAAGUCGAGGGGAAACGAUAUUGGAAGCUUGCUUCCGAUAGGCGUCGACCGGCGCACGGGUGAGUAACGCGUAUCCAACCUGCCCACCACUUGGGGAUAACCUUGCGAAAGUAAGACUAAUACCCGAUGGCAUAGUUCUUCCGCAUGGUGGAACUAUUAAAGAAUUUCGGUCAUCGAUGGGGAUGCGUUCCAUUAGGUUGUUGGCGGGGUAACGG
rnacentral:rRNA from 1 species